CGCAAGAUUAAAACUCAAAUGAAUUGACGGGGGCCCGCACAAGCGGUGGAGCAUGUGGUUUAAUUCGAUGCAACGCGAAGAACCUUACCUAGUCUUGACAUGCAGAGAACUUUCCAGAGAUGGAUUGGUGCCUUCGGGAACUCUGAUACAGGUGCUGCAUGGCUGUCGUCAGCUCGUGUUGUGAAAUGUUGGGUUAAGUCCCGCAACGAGCGCAACCCUUAUCCUUGUUUGCCAGCGAGUAAUGUCGGGAACUCCAGGAGACUGCCGGUGAUAACCGGAGGAAGUGGGGACGACGUCAGUCAUCAUGGCCCUUACGA
rnacentral:rRNA from 1 species